rnacentral:rRNA from 1 species
UACAGAGGUGGCAAGCGUUGUUCGGAAUUACUGGGCGUAAAGGGCGCGUAGGCGGUCUUCUAAGUCCUGUGUGAAAUCCCUCGGCUCAACUGAGGAACUGCACGGGAUACUGGAUGACUUGAGUUCGGGAGAGGGAAGCGGAAUUCCGGGUGUAGCGGUGAAAUGCGUAGAUAUCAGGAGGAACACCGGUGGCGAAGGCGGCUAUCUGGACAGAGUCUGACGCUGAGGCGCGAAAGCUAGGGGAGCAAACAGG